AUUGAACGCUGGCGGCAUGCCUUACACAUGCAAGUCGAACGGCAGCACGGGUGCUUGCACCUGGUGGCGAGUGGCGAACGGGUGAGUAAUACAUCGGGACGUACCUUAUCGUGGGGGAUAACGCAGCGAAAGCUGUGCUAAUACCGCAUACGCCCUGAAGGGGAAAGCGGGGGAUCGCAAGACCUCGCGCGAUUACAGCGGCCGAUGCCUGAUUAGCUUGUUGGUGGGGUAAAAGCCCACCAAGGCGACGAUCAGUAGCUGGUCUGAGAGGACGAUCAGCCACACUGGGACUGAGACACGGCCCAGACUCCUACGGGAGGCAGCAGUGGGGAAUUUUGGACAAUGGGGGCAACCCUGAUCCAGCAAUGCCGCGUGAGUGAAGAAGGCCUUCGGGUUGUAAAGCUCUUUUGUCAGGGAAGAAACACCGGCUCUAACACAGUCCGGGAAUGACGGUACCUGAAGAAUAAGCACCGGCUAACUACGUGCCAGCCGCCGCGGUAA
rnacentral:rRNA from 1 species